rnacentral:lncRNA from 1 species
AGUAUGCCACAUAAUUUAGCAAGUAAGCCUCUAGCAUGGUAUUAUUGUAUCCUAAUAAGGGUUGGAAAGCAAGACAAGAGCAAAAAUGAGACUCAGAAGAUGUAAUGUUGCCUAGUAAGACAAUCUAAGAGAGGAAGUAAAUUAGGUUUUUCAAAAUUUAAAUAAAUAAUAUGCUGUUUUAAAAACUAGUGAAGUGUUGAUAAGUAUAGAAUUCAAGUAUGCAGAAAUAUAAAUACAAAAAAAAUUAGAAAGAAGAGCACAAGUACAAAUAUAUACAAUAUAUAGUGAUUUGAUGCUUCUUGCAUCUACGUCUACUCCCCA